GCCUCAGUCCAGUCCCAUUUAAUAUGAAGGUGGUGGGCACAGAGCGGCUGGGAGGUGGGGUGAGGGGAGGCCACCCUGUGGAAGACAGUGUCAGGACCUAGAAGGCACUCAACCAAGUGAAACUUUGGGCUGAGGCUGAAAGACACAUGCAGCAAGGCCAGAGACAACAUGCCCCGUUAGGCCAGCAUUUAGGAAAUAUUCUCUAAUGCAUGAGUGUGGUGGUCAGGGUCAGACAGCUGUACUCAGCUUUCACGAUCUCCAGCUGUGUGACCUUGGGAGGGUUAUGUAGCCUCUCUGAACCUCAGUUUCCUGAUAGGCACAAUGCAGAUAAUUUAAAAAAAAAAAUCUCAUAGUGAGAUUGAAAGGAUCAAGUUGUCAUUACUAUUAUUCUUGUUAUUUAAAAAGCUGUACAGGUCCAGGAAGGAAGGACUGUCUUGACGGGAAUUCAGACAAAAAAGAUCCAGGGUUUUGGCCGAUCUCAAAUUAGUAUGAGGGUCUAAUAUGGAUGGUGAGAUCUGUGACAUACAAAAGAAGGCAGUGAUCCCUGGAGCCAACAUGGGUUCACCAAGACCGGGCACAGCUCUUAGGUUCUUGACAGCUCAAUGACUCGUGGGUAAAGAAAAAGAGCCAGCAUGGGUGGAGAGGAAUCUGUGAUUAUUGAGCACCAACUGUGUGCUGGAUAUUUCACACACAUGGUUUUAUUUAAUCCUCACAAGCUUGUGGGUUAAACAAGAUGUGACAAUCUCCAUUUUACUGAUGAGAAACUGAGUCUCGGGAAGUGAUUUGCCCAAGGUGGGUGGAGCUGGGAUUCAAACCUGGAUCUGUCUGACCCUUUCUGCCAUAUCACACCAUCUCCUAAGACAUUGGGUAGAGUCUGUCGUGACUCUUGAGGACAUGAAGGAUGUCUGAGAGGGCACAAAGGGGGCUCCCAUUGGGCCAAACAACAGCUUUGAUCAGUCUAUGCCAAGGACCUCUAAGAAGACAUGGAGGAUGCAGACUUACAAAAGUUGGAGUGGUAGAAAGCUCCAAGGGACAGAGAAAAUCUCAGCAGAAUCAGGAUUUAGAAAGAUCUCAACAGGCUGGCGUGGCAAGGUGAAUUUAGCAUGAGGAAAUAUCACAGGGAAAAACGCUGAGGCCCAUCUUGACUACGGGAAAAACUGUAGAAGGGAUGGGCAGCUCAUGAGAAAGAUUUAGAAGCUCAAGUGCCAGUAAGUUCAGCAUGAGUCAGUAGGCUACAUUAAUAGAAGUAUGGUGUUUGGGACAAGGGAGGGGGGCCUCUCUCUAGCCUCAGUUUACUCUCUGCCCUGGGGCAGUUUGUACUGUACAUAUUUGAAGGUCACGUGCUAUUUUCUGUUUUUCCAGUUCUCUCUCUUUCUUUUCAAGUUCUUAGGGGAGGCAGAGUCCUUCUGGAGUUUGACCUUUGGAUUCCAUCCAGAGCAGCCUCCAAAAUGACACCUUUGAAGUUGUGUAUCGACCUGGGGGAUGUAAAGGGAGGAGAAGAAGAUGAAGAGACACCAGCCAGCCUUGAGGAGUGGACAUCCUGCCUGGUGAAACUGAACAAGACACCAACCGCAUGAGCCCUCUCCCACCGCUGGUAAAAGGCAGCUGCACUGCCUGCUGGAAGACCUGCCAGCUUGGGCUUCAGGGCACUUCUGCCUCAGCUCCACGACGAACCCUUCUGUCAUCGUGGGACCUUUCCUGGGAUUUGAUUUAGGGCGACGCUUUCUCCUGUCUGCGUCCUGAGUCCUGCCUUCCCUGGCUGGUCCUCCUUGCUUAGUCACCCAGAUCAUUCCCAGACAGCUGCACCCUGGAUAUGGCUCCUCUCAUGUGCUACCUGGAAAUGUCUCCUCUCUUCUCAACCUGCUGGGAGGUCCUUCCGGGCAGGGACUCGGGCAGAUUCAUUCCUGCCUGCCCCACAUUUCCCUAGCCCAGGGCCUGGCCCAUUGCAGUGCUGAAGGAUGACUCUGGUAAGAAACAAGGUACCCCAGCUCACAUCUUGCAGUGAUUAUGCCUCCCCCACUCUCCCUUCUCCUUGCAGUUCUCUCCCUUCACUGAUGAUUUUGGAUGCAAUUUAAAAUAAAAAUAUUGAUUAAAAAUGGAAACUAUAUAAAUAAAAAUAAAAACACAA